rnacentral:tRNA from 1 species
UAAUCUUUAGUGUAACGGCACGAAAAAUUUUGAUUUUUUAAGAAAUAAUUAAUUUUAUUAAGAUUAA